AUGUACCCACGUACAUUCCGGUUCCUCCGCGCCGUCCGCACCCACCUGACGGCUGCUCGCUACGUUUUGUUAGCU
rnacentral:sRNA from 1 species